AGAACGAACGCUGGCGGCAUGCCUAAUACAUGCAAGUCGAACGAACUCUUCGGAGUUAGUGGCGCACGGGUGCGUAACGCGUGGGAAUCUGCCCUUGGGUUCGGAAUAACAGUUGGAAACGACUGCUAAUACCGGAUGAUGACGAAAGUCCAAAGAUUUAUCGCCCAGGGAUGAGCCCGCGUAGGAUUAGCUAGUUGGUGAGGUAAAGGCUCACCAAGGCGACGAUCCUUAGCUGGUCUGAGAGGAUGAUCAGCCACACUGGGACUGAGACACGGCCCAGACUCCGUACGGGAGCAGCAGUAGGGAAUAUUGGACAAGUGGGCGAAAGCCUAGAUCCAAGCAAUCGCCGCGUGAGUGAGUGAAGGCCGUUAAGGGUUGUAAAGGUCUUACGUUUUAACCCGAGUA
rnacentral:rRNA from 1 species